rnacentral:rRNA from 1 species
GACGAACGCUGGCGGCGUGCUUAACACAUGCAAGUCGAACGGAAAGGCCCUUCGGGGUACUCGAGUGGCGAACGGGUGAGUAACACGUGGGUGAUCUGCCCUGCACUUUGGGAUAAGCCUGGGAAACUGGGUCUAAUACCGAAUAUGACCGCGCUCUUCAUGGGGUGUGGUGGAAAGCUUUUGCGGUGUGGGAUGGGCCCGCGGCCUAUCAGCUUGUUGGUGGGGUAAUGGCCUACCAAGGCGACGACGGGUAGCCGGCCUGAGAGGGUGACCGGCCACACUGGGAAUGAGGUACGGCCCAGACUCCUACGGGAGGCAGCAGUGGGGAAUAUUGCACAAUGGGCGCAAGCCUGAUGCAGCGACGCCGCGUGAGGGAUGACGGCCUUCGGGUUGUAAACCUCUUUCAAUAGGGACGAAGCGCAAGUGACGGUACCUAUAGAAGAAGGACCGGCCAACUACGUGCCAGCAGCCGCCGUAAGAC